rnacentral:rRNA from 1 species
UACGUAGGUGGCAAGCGUUGUCCGGAUUUAUUGGGUUUAAAGGGUGCGUAGGCGGUUAUAUAAGUCAGUGCUGAAAUAUCCCGGCUUAACCGGGAGGGUGGCAUUGAUACUGUAUGACUUGAGUAAAGUUGAGGUUGGCGGAAUUGACGGUGUAGCGGUGAAAUGCUUAGAUAUCGUCAAGAACACCUAUAGCGAAGGCAGCUUACUAGGCUGUAACUGACGCUGAGGCACGAAAGUGUGGGGAUCAAACAGG